rnacentral:rRNA from 1 species
GAAAAGAACUUUGAAGAGAGAGUUCAAUAGUACGUGAAACCGUUCAAAGGUAAACAGACAGGGCCGCAAAGUCUGUCGAGCAAAUUCAAAUGACAUGUGAGCGGCUUUGCGUCAAGAGCAUUCGGUAACGAAGACUUUUGGUGCGAAGCGCAACGUUUGCGGUUAAUGCACUUUUGUUCGAUAGAGCGCCGCGACCGGUUGAUCAGCGGUAAAAAACUUCGAAACUAGGUGACACCGCUUCGGUAACGAUUCGGUGAGUUAUAAGUUCGACAGCUAAUUACCCGUUGAAAGACUGACGAAGACCAAGCUCAGGCGCGCUUCGCCUUUGAAUCUUGGCUAGACGUACGACUGGGAAUCACUGCAUAAGCAGUGUUUUUCGACCGCGUUUAGUUAAUCGUUUAGAGUGACGAUGCACGCAUAUCGAGGGGUCUGCGGCGAUUCGGUCGGUAGCCUGUCUGACCCGUCUUGAAACACGGACCAAGGAGUCUAACACGUGCGCGAGUCUCAGGGUCGUACGAAACCCGUUGGACGCAAUGAAAGUAAAGAUAGUCUUUACCGACUGUUUAGGUGAGAUCCCGAAACCGGUGACGGUAACGGGCGCACCACCGGCCCGUUUCAGCUGCUACGUCAGCGGGGCGGAGCAAGAGUGUACGCGUUGG